rnacentral:rRNA from 1 species
AUUGAACGCUGGCGGAAUGCUUUACACAUGCAAGUCGAGCGGCAGCACGGGGGCAACCCUGGUGGCGAGCGGCGAACGGGUGAGUAAUACAUCGGAACAUGCCCAGUCGUGGGGGAUAACACUUCGAAAGAAGUGCUAAUACCGCAUACGUCCUGAGGGGGAAAGCGGGGGAUCGCAAGACCUCGCGCGAUUGGAGUGGCCGAUGUCAGAUUAGCUAGUUGGUGGGGUAAAGGCCUACCGAGGCAACGAUCUGUAGCUGGUCUGAGAGGAUGAUCAGCCACACUGGGACUGAGACACGGCCCAGACUCCUACGGGAGGCAGCAGUGGGGAAUUUUGGACAAUGGGGGCAACCCUGAUCCAGCCAUUCCGCGUGAGCGAAGAAGGCCUUCGGGUUGUAAAGCUCUUUCGGCAGGAACGAAACGGUGAGCUCUAACAUAGCUUGCUAAUGACGGUACCUGAAGAAGAAGCACCGGCUAACUACGUG